rnacentral:lncRNA from 1 species
AGAGUGAAAUACAUAUGACAUUGUUCCAAUGCAAUGAAUCAGAACGAUGAUUGAUAUAGUGAUCGAGCAAAGCCGUCAGCACUUUAUGAUCAAAUCUAAUGAAACACAAUAGUAUUGUAACUGGUUCUUCCAAAAUCUCUACCAGCAUGUCACUUGUAAUUACUUUAUUCUAAUCACUUGUUCUAAAUUUGUUUUCGUACUUGGUAUUGCCGUCUGCAGAAAAUUGAGACCAUAAGAAACUGUUUGUGUUAAUUAACUAUUUCUAUAUGCCAUGAAAGAAAAUUUUAUCUGAUUGAAUUGCAUAAAGCAAUGGUCACUUGGAUUCUAAAAUGAUAACUUUACAUAAAAUCACCUUUGUUUACCUCUGUUGCAUAGAGGAGUUUAUAGGAGAAAAAAUUAUAAAGUGAGAUUGUUGAGCAUUAGCACAGUCCUAAAGGAUAAAUUAUUGGACAGACGCUCAAGUGUAGCGUUGCAGAUCAAGUAACGCUGAAAGCCAGGGAUUCUGACCUUAGUUCUGCUCCAUAUUAUAAGUUGUUCUUAGGCUUCGAAUGUGUUAUGAUUUUGUUUAUGCCUAUCUUGAAAGUAAUGAACUUUCAGCUUCUCCAUGUUAUCCA